GCCAAUGUAGCGUAGCGGUUUAAGUGUUGGACAAUGACUCUGGAGACCAGGGUUUGAUUCCCUGCUUGGUCA
rnacentral:tRNA from 1 species